rnacentral:rRNA from 1 species
UACCCGCGGCCCGAGUGGUGGUCGAUAUUAUUGAGCCUAAAACGUUCGUAGCCGGUCUUGUAAAUCCUUGGGUAAAUCGGCCAGCUUAACUGUCCGAAGUCCGGGGAGACUGCAAGACUUGGGAUCGGGAGAGGUCAGAGGUACUUCUGGGGUAGGGGUAAAAUCCUGUAAUCCUAGAAGGACCACCGGUGGCGAAGGCGUCUGACUAGAACGAAUUCGACGGUGAGGAACGAAGCCCUGGGGCGCAAACGGGAUUAGAUACCCCGGUAGUCCAGGGUGUAAACGCUGCGGGCUUGGUGUUGGGGGUCCUUAGUGGGCGCCCAGUGCCGGAGAGAAGUUGUUAAGCCUGCUGCUUGGGGAGUACGUCCGCAAGGAUGAAACUUAAAGGAAUUGGCGGGGGAGCACCGCAACGGGAGGAGCGUGCGGUUCAAUUGGACUCAACGCCGGA